GCUUAACACAUGCAAGUCGUGGGGCGGCGCGAGGUAGCAAUACUUUGGCGGCGACCGGCAAACGGGUGCGGAACACGUACGCAACCUUCCUCAAAGCGGGGGAUAGCCUCUCGAAAGAGAGAUUAAUACCCCAUAGUAUCGUCAGAUGGCAUCUGAAGAUGAUUAAAGCUCCGGCACUUUGAGAUGGGCGUGCGGCUGAUUAGGUAGUUGGUAGGGUAACGGCCUACCAAGCCGACGAUCAGUAGCUGAUGUGAGAGCAUGAUCAGCCACACGGGCACUGAGACACGGGCCCGACUCCUACGGGAGGCAGCAGUGAGGAAUAUUGGUCAAUGGAGGCAACUCUGAACCAGCCAUGCCGCGUGAAGGAUGAAGGUCUUCUGGAUUGUAAACUUCUUUUAUAGAAGAAGAAACCCCAUCUUUCUAAGUGGGUUGACGGUACUCUAUGAAUAAGCACCGGCUAACUCCGUGCCAGCCGCCGCCGUAACAC
rnacentral:rRNA from 1 species